AAAGGCUCUUUUCAGAGCCACC
rnacentral:ncRNA from 2 species